rnacentral:ribozyme from 1 species
AAAACAAAAAGGAAAAUAAGCUGCAUCUCUCCGGCGCAGAAAAAGAUAAAAAAUGAUCAAGUUUUUUUUUUUUUUUUUUUUUUUU